rnacentral:lncRNA from 1 species
CCCCUCACUUCCUGCUGUUGAAGCCUGAACAUGGUUUAGAAUGGAAAUGUUGGAAAUUUAGAGCACAGCUUUUAAGUAAGACAGACGUGGACUCAAUCCUGGUGUAUGGUCAGUGCCCUGUAUAUUGCAUCUAUUAUUAUUUUUACUCCCAGUUCAGCUUUUGUACUUCAAUCACAUUGAUCCUUAAUCUUCCUUUGAAUGUUUCUGUGUAGAAGAGCCUUUAAGUGAUUAGUUUUGGAUUCUUAGCUUUUAUAUCCUGCAUUUUGAAUUCUGUCCUUGUAGCCAACCUGACCAUGCUAAUUGCAGCACUCUCAACACAGAGGAUGUUUCUUGGAUACAGGGUCUAUUCCAAAGCAUUCAAGGAGGAUUGACAGGUCAUUCUGGGAUGGGAUCCACUCUACAAAUUCAAUUUUUUUUUUUCUCAGUAUGUUCUAGAAUCUGUCAAAUGAGGGUCUUUAAACCUUCAUUUCAAUAGUAGGGUUUUAUGCAACACUUCUUAUAUUCCCAUAUAUCCCCCAGUCUGGCUAGGAAAUCUUAUAAGAAGGGGUCAGGUGUCUGCUUUUGAAAAUUACAUUAUAUAUUAGCACUUAUCUUCUUCUCAUAGGUUGUUUGGAGCUUUGCCACCAUGUAGCUGAACACUCUUAGAAUUUUUGUCAGCCUUUGUGUUGUUUCAUUUUGGCAUCCUCUCUGGCCUCAGAAGUUUCCUUUGUUUCUCAUUCCACUGCAUUUUCUCUUGGUGGAUACCCUUCUUUUCUGGCUGUAUCUCAAGUCAUGCUUCCUUUGGAAUGAGAUGUCAUUGUAAACCCAAUAAUUUUAAAGAUGAUGAUAAUAGAGAUUAGAUUUACUCGCCUCUAAUACAGUCACCAUGUAUUAGACAUUACUGUGACCGCUUUAUAUAUAUGAACACACUGAAUGCUCACAACUUCUCUAUAAAUACAUACAAUUAUUGUCUUCUUUUUAUAGGUGUGGAAACUGCUAUAAAAGAGUCUUAGGACCUUGGACAGCUGUACCAAGUAGACAGGAGCUAGCUUGGCUGCAGGUCUUCAUGGACAUUCAGGAGCUGACUCUGGAGAAUUCCCUCUUUUGGGUGUCAUUAUCAAUAGUGGACCCUCCCGAGAAAGGUGAUCAUUUAAAAGUCUACAAAUAACAGACGCUGGACAGGGUGUAGAGAAAAGGGAAACCCUCUACACUGUUGUUGGGAAUGUAAAUUGGUACAGCCAAUAUGGAGAACAAUACGGAGAUUCCUUGAAAAACGAAAAAUGGAACUACUAUAUGAUUCAGCAAUCUCACCCCUGAGCAUGUAUUUGGAGAAAACUAUAAUUUGAAAAGAUAGCUGCACCCCAGUGUUCAUAGCAAUACUAUUUACAAUAGCCAAGACAUGGAAGCAACCUGAUUGUGCAUCAAGGGAGGAGUGGAUAAAGAAGAUGUAGUGUACGUAUAUGAUGGAAUAUUACUCAACCAUGGAAAAGAAUAAAAUAAUGCCAAUUGCAGUGACAUGGAUGGACCUAGAGGUUGUCAUACUGAGUGAACUGGGUCAGACAGAGACAAAUGCCACAUGAUAUCACUUAUAUGUGGGAUCUAAAAUAUGACACAAAUGAACUUAUCUGUGAAACAGACAUAAAGAACAGACUUGUGGUCCCAAGAGGAAGGGGAUAGGGGAAGGAUGGAUUGGGAGUUUGAGAUAAGCAGAUGCAAACUAGUAUAUACAGAAUAGAUAGACAACAAGGUACUACUGUAUAGCACAGGGACCUAUGUUCAAUAUCCUGUGAUAGCCUAUAAUGGAAGAGAAUAUGAGAAUGUAUGUAUGUAUAACUGAGUCACUUUGCUGUACAGCAGAAAUUAACACAAUGUUUAAAUUAACUAUACUUCAAUAAAAUAUUUUUGAAAAAAUAGUGUAUCCUCUCAUUUUCAGAAGUUUCAUGGUGUGGAAGGUAAAUCAUGGUUACCUUGCUGAAGGCCGCUCUCUAGACAGGACAGCAUGACAUUGUGGCUGAUGUCACAAUGUGACUCCCUGAGUUAGAAAUCAAGCUCUGCCACUCAGUGGUCACAGAACCCUG